GACGAACGCUGGCGGCGUGCCUAAUACAUGCAAGUAGAACGCUGAAGAGAGGAGCUUGCUCUUCUUGGAAGAGUUGCGAACGGGUGAGUAACGCGUAGGUAACCUGCCUUGUAGCGGGGGAUAACUAUUGGAAACGAUAGCUAAUACCGCAUAACAAUGGGUGACCCAUGUCAUUCAUUUGAAAGGGGCAACUGCUCCACUACAAGAUGGACCUGCGUUGUAUUAGCUAGUAGGUGAGGUAACGGCUCACCUAGGCGACGAUACAUAGCCGACCUGAGAGGGUGAUCGGCCACACUGGGACUGAGACACGGCCCAGACUCCUACGGGAGGCAGCAGUAGGGAAUCUUCGGCAAUGGGGGCAACCCUGACCGAGCAACGCCGCGUGAGUGAAGAAGGUUUUCGGAUCGUAAAGCUCUGUUGUAAGUCAGGAACGAGUGUGAGAGUGGAAAGUUCACACUGUGACGGUAGCUUACCAGAAAGGGACGGCUAACUACGUGCCAGCAGCCGCGGUAAUACGUAGGUCCCGAGCGUUGUCCGGAUUUAUUGGGCGUAAAGCGAGCGCAGGCGGUUUGAUAAGUCUGAAGUUAAAGGCUGUGGCUCAACCAUAGUUCGCUUUGGAAACUGUCAAACUUGAGUGCAGAAGGGGAGAGUGGAAUUCCAUGUGUAGCGGUGAAAUGCGUAGAUAUAUGGAGGAACACCGGUGGCGAAAGCGGCUCUCUGGUCUGUAACUGACGCUGAGGCUCGAAAGCGUGGGGAGCGAACAGG
rnacentral:rRNA from 1 species